GGAGAAGAGGAAAGCUCAAAGAGAUGUGCCUUUGCUCCUCCCUGCUCUGAGCUGCCCUGACCCAGGAAGAAUUCCUGGUGCAACUCUUUCAUCCCAGGAAGCCCCAGCUCCUGAUCUGAGGUACAAGUGGAGCGGAAAACACAAGUUUGUGCCACGCUGCUGGAUGGCUGGAACAAAGCACAGCCCCUUGACACAGUGCUGCCAGGCCACCUGGGCCUCUUCGCUAGCCAAACCCCAACAGGGACACAGGUCACCGGCACCUCAAGAAGAACAGACCCUUGCACCCAAAUCCAGCUGCAUGGGAUGUUAUUCCCUCAACAAGAGCAGGGUUCAGCUGACUGGAAAUGGCUGUGGGUAUGCACAGCUCCAGUUCCAGCUCCACAAAUCCUCUGAACAAGUGUUUACUACGGCCUCUCUGUGCUGGUCAUGGCUAUUGAGCAGCAGUUGUGGAAGCGCUUUGACAUUUUUAGUCUCACACAGGAAAAUAGAUCCUCCUAGAAAAUCCCUCGAGUAGAUUAACCUGCAUAAUGAAUCUCUGUGCCAGGGCACAGUUCUGCUGCUCCACUCCUCCACACAGCUGAAUAAAUCCCACCGCUCAGCACAAAACCUUUGCUCUACAUGAGAGUGUUCUCCCUCCAAAACACAUGGUGUUAGCAAAAAGCACAAGGGGGAAUGCUCAGCUCCUGGGGAUUUAUUUUCCAGCCCACAGGAAUAGAGGCCCUGCACACACUGAUUUGCUAUGAAACAGCAGAUUUGCAGAUUCACAAGGUUGUGCUGGUGCCAGUUUAACCCUCACCCUUUUUCCCUGUGGACCCUGGCAAUGCUCAGCCUUAAUUUAGCAAGCAAUUAACUUUGCUAAAACUCCCCAGCUGCUGGGUUGCUGCUGCUCAGUGACCUGCCCCCAGGCUCCGUGGCACACUGCUGACUCAGUGCCCGUGCUGCUCUCGUGUGUGAGGCAUUGCUAAACGUCACCAUGGAGAUUCAAGAUUAUUCCACCCACUUCCACAGAUCUCUAAACUGCAAACCAAACAACCAGAGACUGUGGGUUCUGCAGCAAGGUGCCCUCAGACUGCAGUGAAGUGUGGCUGUCUCCACCACUCCUGGCAAUUAGCUCACUUGCACACUAAGUCACCUGACCUCAUCCUCUCUGUGGGAGUCCUGUGCAACAGUGACUUCCCCCUCAGCAACAGCAACCCAGAAAUCCAUCUCUUUUGCAGAAAUUUCAGGCUUUAGAGAACAGCACAUAUUGUCCAAGCAGCUCUGCUCAUAGCUCAUCCACAUGACUUUGGAGGCCAUGGCUAUGCUGCUCAGCCUCUAUGCUCUCCUGGGGUUUGUGAAUAUGUGGCACUCAGCUGUGCCUCAGAAUCCUUGGCAUCAAAAUGCCAGGAAGUAUCCAGUCUUUAACCCAAACUUCCCUGUCUGGAGGCCACAAGCUUCUCUCAGGCAAGACCCCUGUACCCUUGCAUCUUUCAGCACCUUCCCUCCUGUGCUCAGCUCUCUGGCAUAUUUUCUCACACACUGAGGUGGC